rnacentral:tRNA from 1 species
GCCUGGGUGUCUCAGUCGGUUAAGCGUCUGACUUCAACUCAGGUCAUGAUCUCAUGGUUUGUGGGUUCAACUCCCGCGUCUGGCU